ensembl:snRNA U6 U6 spliceosomal RNA
GUGCUUCAUUCGAUAGUAUAUAUACUAAAAUUGGAACGAUACAGAGGAUAAUAAGCUUGGCCCCGGUGCAAGUAUGACAUGCAAAUUCAUGUGUUCAAUAUUAAA